CCUACGGGAGGCAGCAGUGGGGAAUCUUGCGCAAUGGGCGAAAGCCUGACGCAGCAACGCCGCGUGCGGGAAGAAGGCUUUCGGGCUGUAAACCGCUUUCAGCAGGAACGAAAAUGACGGUACCUGCAGAAGAAGGAGCGGCCAACUAUGUGCCAGCAGCCGCGGUGAUACAUAGGCUUCAAGCGUUGUCCGGAUUUAUUGGGCGUAAAGAGUUCGUAGGCGGUCGAGUAAGUCGGGUGUGAAAAUUCUGGGCUCAACCCAGAGACGCCACCCGAUACUGCUUGACUUGAGUUCGAUAGGGGAGUGGGGAAUUCCUAGUGUAGCGGUGAAAUGCGCAGAUAUUAGGAGGAACACCGGUGGCGAAGGCGCCACUCUGGAUCGAUACUGACGCUGAGGAACGAAAGCAUGGGUAGCAAACAGGAUUAGAUACCCUGGUAGUCCAUGCCGUAAACGGUGGGCACUAGGUGUGGGUUUCUAUUAACGAAAUCCGCGCCGUCGCUAACGCAUUAAGUGCCCCGCCUGGGGGAGGUACGGUCGCAGACUAAACUACAAGAAGUAGACGGCGUGAGACGUGCCGAACGGACGACGACGAGGGAGUAGG
rnacentral:rRNA from 1 species